UAGAUACUCCCUCCGUCCGAAAAUACUUGUCAUCAAAAUGGAUAAAAAGGGAUGUAUUUAGAACUAAAAUACAUCUAGAUACAUCUCCUUUUAUCCAUUUUGAUGACAAGUAUUUCCGGACGGAGGGAGUACAAU
rnacentral:pre_miRNA from 1 species